rnacentral:rRNA from 1 species
AACGAACGCUGGCGGCAUGCCUAACACAUGCAAGUCGAACGAUGCCUUCGGGCAUAGUGGCGCACGGGUGCGUAACGCGUGGAAUCUGCCCUUCGGUUCGGAAUAACUCAGGGAAACUUGAGCUAAUACCGGAUAAUGACGUAAGUCCAAAAGUUUUUCGCCGAAGGAUGAGCCCGCGUGGGAUUAGGUAGUUGUUGGGGUAAUGGCCCACCAACCCGACGAUCCUUAGCUGGUAUGAGAGGAUGAUCAGCCACACUGGGACUGAGACACGGCCCAGACGCCUACGGGAGGCAGCAGUGGGGAAUAUUGGACAAUGGGCGAAAGCCUGAUCCAGCAAUGCCGCGUGAGUGAUGAAGGCCUUAGGGUUGUAAAGCUCUUUUACCAGGGAUGAUAAUGACAGUGCCUGGAGAAUAAGCUCCGGCUAACUCCGUGCCAGCCGCCGCGGUAACAC